GAAAAUUGGGGGGAGGUAGCCAUGCAGUUGAUGGGAUACCUAAAUUUCCCAUGGCAAACUGCUCAGUAACACAUGAUCAACUUACCCUAUGGAGAAAAAUACCCUCGGGAAACUGAGGAUAAUGUUUCAUAGUUGAAAAGGCUUGGAAAAGUUUUUCAAUUAAAGGGAUGAGAAAAAUGGUUCUUAUCUGCCAUAGGAUAGGAUCGUGGUCGAUUAUGGUUGUUGGUGAGGUAACGGCUCACCAAGCCGAUAAUCGAUAGGGGCCGUGAGAGCGGGAGCCCCGAGAUGGGUACUGAGACAACGACCCAGGCCUUACGAGGCGCAGCAGGCGCGAAACCUCCGCAAUACACGAAAGUGUGACGGGGUUACCCAAAGUGUUCAUUUAUGAACUGUGGUAGGUGAGUAAUGUCCCCUACUAGAAAGGAGAGGGCAAGGCUGGUGCCAGCCGCCGCGGUAAAACCAGCUCUUCAAGUGGUCGGGAUAAUUAUUGGGCUUAAAGUGUCCGUAGCCGGUUUAGUAAGUUCCUGGUAAAAUCGGGUAGCUUAACUAUCCGCAUGCUAGGAAUACUGCUAUGCUAGAGGGCGGGAGAGGUCUGAGGUACUACAGGGGUAGGGGUGAAAUCUUAUAAUCCUUGUAGGACCACCAGUGGCGAAGGCGUCAGUCUGGAACGCGCCUGACGGUGAGGGACGAAAGCCAGGGGAGCGAACCGGAUUAGAUACCCGGGUAGUCCUGGCUGUAAACGAUGCAUACUAGGUGAUGGCACGGCCAUGAGCCGUGUCAGUGCCGUAGGGAAACCGUUAAGUGUGCCGCCUGGGAAGUACGGUCGCAAGGCUAAAACUUAAAGGAAUUGGCGGGGGAGCACCACAAGGGUGAAGCCUGCGGUUCAAUUGGAGUCAACGCCGGG
rnacentral:rRNA from 1 species